rnacentral:rRNA from 1 species
UACGUAGGGGGCGAGCGUUGUCCGGAUUUAUUGGGCGUAAAGAGCGUGUAGGCGGUUCGGUAAGUCUGUCGUGAAAUCCUGAGGCUCAACCUCGGGCGUGCGAUGGAUACUGCCGGGCUAGAGGGUGGUAGAGGCGAGUGGAAUUCCCGGUGUAGCGGUGAAAUGCGCAGAUAUCGGGAGGAACACCAGUAGCGAAGGCGGGCUCGCUGGGCCACACCUGACGCUGAGACGCGAAAGCUAGGGGAGGCGAACGAGGA